CUGUUCUCUGCAGAGGAACUAGAAGACAAUCCACUCCUUGUCUCUGCCAGUUCCCAGCAGCUGCCCUGGCAUCCCUGGACUUGAGAAGCAUCACUCCAUUCUCUGUCCCUGCCACCAAUCAUGAUCUCAUCCAAGUAAACAUCCAUUUCUGCUUUGUUGUAUCUCACUACAUAGCUCUGAUGACCUAGGCUCACUAUGUAGACAAGGCUGGACAUGAACUCACAGGGAUCCACCUGCCUCUGCCUGCUGCUGAGUGCUGGGAUUAAAGGUGAUUCCUCAGACCCUGUUCAACUGUCCUGUGGGCCUGGACAAGAAAGCUGCUCAUCAUUGGAGGGUAGGCCUACCUGCUCAUCUUGAGAAGCACCAGAGAUCGACUUCUGUUUGCUGAAGACGACACGGAUUAACCCAUUGUGAGACAGUCCAGGAUGAAUAGAAAAUGAAGCAGCGCAGAUCAUAGGAGAAAUAUGGUAAGAAAUGGGGCGACCAUGUUUAAAGAAGUCACUUUUUGUGAUAGGACUUUAAGGGUCACUCAAAAUAUGAGGAACUAGGUUUAAGAAAAAGGAUUUCAUAAAAUUUUUAGAUUUUGUGGGAGACAUUUGUUCAUGGUUCCUCCAGAGGGAACAA
rnacentral:lncRNA from 1 species